GAUCCUGCUCAGGAUGAACGCUAGCUACAGGCUUAACACAUGCAAGUCGAGGGGCAGCAUUUUAGUUUGCUUGCAAACUGAAGAUGGCGACCGGCGCACGGGUGAGUAACACGUAUCCAACCUGCCGAUAACUCCGGGAUAGCCUUUCGAAAGAAAGAUUAAUACCGGAUAGCAUACGAAUAUCGCAUGAUAUUUUUAUUAAAGAAUUUCGGUUAUCGAUGGGGAUGCGUUCCAUUAGUUUG
rnacentral:rRNA from 1 species